rnacentral:ncRNA from 1 species
CUUGGGUAGCAAUAAGGAUUAGAUACCCUAGUAGUCCAAGCAGAAAAUGAUGAAUGUCAUAGGCUAGAUAAUAUAUUUAGUCUAUAAAUGAAAGUGUAAGCAUUCCACCUCAAGAGUAAUAUGGCAACAUAUAAACUGAAAUCAUUAGACCGUUUCUGAAACCAGUAGUGAAGUAUGUUAUUUAAUUCGAUAAUCCGCGAAAAACCUUACCACAAUUUGAAUAAUAUUAAAUUAUUACAAGCGCUGCACGGCUGUCUUUAGUUAAUGUCGUGAGAUUUGGUUAACUCCUCUAAUUAACGAAAACCCUCACUUUAUUUGUUUACAUAAAGUGGUUCGCCACUACAUUGGACCUGAUAAAAGGGAUUAAGACAAGUCAUCAUGGCCUAAAUAUUGUGGGCUAUAGACGUGCCACACACGCCUUAACAAAGGGAUGCUAUAUUGUGAAAUGGAGCUAAUCCCCAAAAUUGGAUAUAAUAUGGAUUGUAGUCUGUAACUCGACUACAUGAAUAAGGAAUUACUAGUAAUCGUGAAUCACCAUCGUCACGGUGAAUCUAAUCUCAGCUAGGUACUAACCACUCGUCAGGCGCUGAAAGGAGUAUGUGCAAUAAGUUUGAUUUAUUUAUAUAUUAAUAUAUACAAUUGGGUAUAUAAAUAUAUAAGUAUAAUUUUCGUAUGCAUGACUUUGAUUGGUGUUAAGUCGAAAUAUGGUUCGUGUAAUGGAAAUUGCACGGGAUGAAUAACAUUU